rnacentral:lncRNA from 1 species
GGGUGCAUGGGUGGAUAUUGCAUGGGUGGGGUGCUGCGUGGGUGGGGUAUUGCGUGGAUGGGACGUUGCAUGGGUGGAGUGCUGCAUGGAUGGAUAUUGCAUGCGUGGGGGUUGCAUGGGUGGGGGUGUUGAAUGGGGGGCUUGCAUGGGUGGGGGUUGCAUGGGUGGGAUAUUGUAUGGGUGGAUAUUGCACAGGUGGGGGUUGCAUGGGUGGGAUGUUGCAUGGAUGGGGCAUCGCUCUCACGCAGCACCGCACGGACGGCACACGGCAUGGGUGGGGAACUGCAAGGCUGGGACAUCACUGCCGUGCAGCGCUGCAGGGAUGGAUGGGGUGUUGCACGGACUGGAUGUCAGUGCAGUACUGCAUGGAUGGGGCGCUGCAUCACGCAUGCAAUGUUGCAUGGAUGGGAUGUCACCGUGGUGCGGCAUUGCAUGGAUGGGACGUGGCAUGGGUGGAGCAUUGCAUGGAUGGAGCAAUGCAUGGAUGGGGCACGGCAUGGAUGGAGCACUGCACGGAUGGAGCAAUGCAUGGGUGGAGCAAUGCAUGCAUGGAGCGCUGCAUGGAUGGGAUGUCACCCCAGGCCUGCACCCCGCUUCCAGCACGGCACUGGGGUACAGCUGCUCGGAGCGACAUUGGGGUGCCCAUUGGGAUUCCCAUUGGGGUGCUAUUGGGGUACCCAUUCGGGUGUUACUGGGGUGUUAUUGGGGUACCCAUUGGGAUUCCCAUUGCGGUACCCAUUGGGGUGCCCACUGGGAUUCCCAUUAGGGUGUUACUGGGGUGUUAUUGGGGUAUCCAUUGGGAUGCCCAUUGGGAUGCCCACUGGGGUGCCACAGGGUGCCAUUGGGAUUCUCAUUGGGGUGCCCAUUGGGAUUCCCAUUGGGGUGCUAUUGGGAUACACACUGGGACGCCUACUGGGGUGUUAUUGGGGUGCUAUGGGGGUGCCAUUGGGAUUCCCAUUGGGGUGCUAUUGGGGUACCCAUUGGGAUUCCCAUUGUGGUACCCAUUGGGGUGCCCACUGGGAUUCCCAUUAGGGUGUUACUGGGGUGUUACUGGGGUAUCCAUUGGGAUACCCAUUGGGAUGCCCACUGGGGUGCCACUGGGGUGCUAUGGGGGUGCCAUUGGGAUUCUCAUUGGGGUGCCCAUUGGGAUUCCCAUUGGGGUGCUAUUGGGGUACCCACUGGGAUGCUAUUGGAGUGCUACUGGGGUACCCUUUGGGCUGCCCAUUGGGGUGCCCCCUUAGGUACCCAUUGGGAUGCCACUGUGUCCCCACAGCGGGGGGACACCCCAGCAUCGCUCCCGUCCCCCCCGGCGCAGGCUGAGCCACGGUGAUGCGGUGACACGGGUCGGCAGCAGCCGUGCCCACGCAGGCAGCGCCAGGCGGUGACUCAGGCGUCACCUCGCUCAGUGCCACCAGCUGCAGUGACACAGCGGGGCCGGGGGGCGGCUCGCUGUGCCCCCCCCUCAGUGCCACCCAUCGCGUCCCCUCGGUGCCACCUGCCUUGUCCCCUCGGUGCCACCCACCCUGUCCCCACGAUGCCACCCACCGUGUCCCCCUGGUGCCACCCACCCUGCCCCCUCGGCGUCACCCACCCUGCCCCCACGAUGCCACCCACAGUGUCCCCCUGGUGCCACCCACUUUGUCCCCUCGGUGCCACCCAGCGCCGCACGUCCCAGCCCUGUGUCAAUAUUGACUCUGCUGGGAGUGGGGCGAGGAGGGGAGGGGGGGGAGGAAGAGGAGGACACAGUGGCACCGCGCUGGGGGUCUCCCGUGGCACCUGGGGACGGUGGCACCCCAUAGGGCGCACAGUGAGAGUGGGGACGGAGCCCCACACGCUGUCCCCACACCCUAGGGGCGGGGAGGAGGAGGGGGGGGGGGUCACCGUCCCCACGGUGCCACGUUCCGGAUGCCAGGUGCCCAGGGGAGCGCGGCACCAGGACAUCCUGGUGACGUCCCACUCCCCCACACCCCCCCGCUCCAUGGGGCACGGCCCUGCUGCCCCACAGGGAGACGUGGCACGCCGCCAUCGUCACCCGGAUGGGACACCCAGCCCCCCCGGGGACACUUGGGGGGCAGCAACGCCCCAUGGUGCCAGGUGACUGGGGGGUCCCCACUGUCACCGCUUGCCCCGGGGUCCCCACCAACCCUUGGGGUCCCCGCUCCCCACAGGGUCCCUUCCUCACUCAUAGGGGUCCCCACCAAUCCCUGGGGUCCCUGCUCACCGUGGGGGUCCCCCAUUACG